UCGAAAAUAUCCCAGUUUCUUCAAUAACGUUAAACUGUUCAUAAUCUCCGACAUUCUAAGCAGCACCUGAACGCAGCAGCCCUGUCCUCUCCUCCGCCUGUCCAUCCAUCUACUAUCGUGUGUACGUGUGUGUGUAUGUGUGUGAGUGGACUGAAGCGUCAUUCUCCUCCUUUCUUCCCGUCAGUGAACGCGCAUCACUUCACAAUUACGGCGCUCGGAGACUCAGAACUUUCUUGUCAGCUCGGCUCGGCUCGGUUUGUUCCGCUCCGCUCCGCUCUCUCCCACGUUUACUCUUCCCGUUUUUUUCCUCCCGGUUUCAUUUUGAACCUCACUUUCUUUCUCCUGACUCGAGGUGGCUUCAGUCGGAUCUGCUAACACAGGGCGUAGCUGGAGAGGAUUUUUGCUAGCACGCCGCUGCUUUGACUGGUAAGGGUGAGAUUGUUUUAGCUUUAGCGUUCAUGCUAACAUCAGUUUGCAGCUAAUUAACGUUGCUUUUAAAAAAGUAAUCGUUAUAACCGUUCCAGCCGUUGGAGUCUCUGUUGUACUUACGCUGUUAGGACAAACCCUACUCUUAACACUGAAUAGUACAUCUUAAUUAUCAUUUUAAGUGCCAAUGAAUCUUUCUGUUGCGUUCAAAAAAAUGUCUGAAAUGUUUUGUUUUUGUGUCACAUCGUGUUUUUGUCCAUAAAUGGCUCUUUUUCAAGUCUCAAUUUGAUUCCUUUACAAAAAAAGGGGGCUGAUAGGGGCGGUGGCAGGCAGCAUGGUAGCUUCAAGUGCUUUACAGACCUGUUAGGCUAACACAAACCAGAGAAAUUGCCCUAAAUCCAUGCUUGUUCUCAUUUCCAGAACAUGAUACCUCUUUGUGUGAGCCUUUUCCCCCUGCUUUCUCCCUCCCUCAACUUUUUUUUUUCCUCGUUAUCUCCCCUCCUUCUCCAUCCUCCAUCGCGGAUGCCCAUUGUUCUGUAGUGGGCCAAGUGCUGAGAAAUGUUUCAUUCGCCUCAGGGGGGAAGAACCGGCAAAUUAAGCCUUAAUAAUUGUGCAGAUGCCCAGUAUGAUUUCACGUCUAAACAGAAGAACUGAGGGCCAUUUGUGGCAUGCUGAAGCUAUAAUUUCCACAGAUCCUGGAGGGAGUUUGUGGAGCUGAGAAGUCUUCUCAGGGUGAUUGUGCACAGACUCAAGCUGGCAUAUAAUCAGAGGUGAUUAAUGUUACCCUCAAAAGUGAUCAGCUAUUGUGGUGUGAGAGUUAAAGCUGGAGGCGCCUGUAGCUGCUCCUUCAGUGACUCUGUUUGGUGGGUGAGUGAGUGCAAUAAGACAGAUUACACUCCCCUCUGUAGAACAAUAGAGAGGAGAAACACAGCCAGUUCUCAAAGCCUGCCCGAGAGCAUUUAAUAAACUGCAAACAUGCAAGCAUUGAAAAUCUUUAUCCUGAGGCCACAGCUCCUUUCUCCUCCCCCGAAGGUGCCUUGGAUGGCGGCACAAAUGUCUGUCUUUGUGGCCACAGCAGGCAUGUGUCCGUCAAUAAUGUGUGACCAUCAACCAUGAGGAAUUGAUUUUUUUUUCUCUAAGAAAAUGGCAUCCCCCGGGUGACUAAUAUGAGCCCUUUUUUAGGCUCGGCCAUGCGAGGCUCUGAGACUCUCCAGGACUCUUAAGUCAGAGGUGGGCUAAGCCAUCAGCCAGUCUGCCUCCUCCGUGCGCAUGGAUGAGAGAAUGGCUGACUCACAGUGUUGGUGGAUGAGGCAGGAAAAUGGAGGCGGUCUAAUGCAAUCAAAUGAAAUUAAAUUUGGCUACCAUUAAAAAGCAAGAUCUGUUUUCAUUAAGUGAUUUAAGAUGCUCCUAAAAAGAUUAUUGGUUUGGAUGAUGUGGAUUACUGCCUGAGGGGAAUUUGUGUGGUGAGGGGAUUUGUCAGGAACCACGCUUGAAUAAAUGAAGCAGAUUAUUUUAAUUGAGAAAAAAUUAUGUGUAGAAAGUGGGUCAGAUCUUGUCCUUCCUGUUCAGGAUUGGACCUCAGUUGAAUUUUUUCUUUGUCUUUGUUGCUGUGCCUUUGAAAGGGUGUAUCACAGUAUUCUGUAACCAGCAGAUCUGUUGAGCCAGUCAGAGUCAGGGAGGUGAGUUUCAUCAGUGUGAGCCACCUGCAGAAACAAUGAGAGCUUGAUGUCGGUGUCUGAUACAAUCCUCCAUUUGAUGAUUUACUCUAGGAAAUAUUGUUUUUAAUACCACAGUGAUCAUCAAUUGAUCUAGUUGCAAAAAAAUAAUCAUGCUCAAAUGAUCUCAGCCUACAUAUUCAGAAACACUAAAAUAUUUGUGUUGACUUAAGGACUGUUGGUGUUAAAGGGUUAAUCAUGAUGCGAUCCUUCAGCCAUGACUAUAAUGGAUGACUAACAUAAUGGUGCUUUUGAAUGGCUCAAUACCCAUUAUAAACGCUAAGAUGUCUUAGCUGACAAGUCAAAGGUGAAAUGCUCUUUUUGACAAACAGAAUUAGUGAUAUCAUUGAAGUAGCUCGGGUUUGAACUGCCAGGUACAGGUACAGGUUUUUCAUCAGACUGAGAUGACUGAUUUCAGUGGGCAACCACACCUCAAAAAGCUUUGGAGUGUGCGAAUUUCAACAGAUCAGAACUUAAAAUGAAAAAAAAACAAAAAACAGCAAAUGCAGCUAAACUAGAACUCCUGAAGAGUGCUGUUGUUUUAAUCAGGGGUCAGUGGACAUCAGUGAGUCAUCAAAAUUAUUGACUGAUCAGACACAUGAAAUUUUUGGGAUCAUACCAAAUAUUAAAUGUUUUUAGCAUUCAUAGAAUGGACAGCAUCUGCCUCCUUGCUGAGUAAAGCCACUCUAAGAACAGCACCCUCUGGUGACAGGCUGCAGUAUAGGUCAUAAAUCCGGCCUCCGCCCGCAAAGCUUAUGGAGCUGAGGACAAACUUUAGAAAUUACGAAAUAUUCAGAGGAGAAUUUUGAUGCGCCUGACUCUACACAUCAAGGGGGACGCAUCCCGGGGAAGACUUUUCCCGGGGAAAGUCCCGCCUCCUUCGCCUCUGAUUCGACGCUAUGACUCCCCACAAAUUGUCCUUCAGGUCUUUAUCUUUGUAAUAUUUGUGUCUUUUAUCAAAAAGCGCUCUGUUCUUAGACACGUAAACAAUCAGCCGGUCGGCCAUGUUGGAUAUAUCGGUGAAUCAGACGUCGCAACAACAAGCAAUCUGAUUGGUCAGAAGUGGACACACAGAAUGCGAAACUUAAGAAAAAUUGACCGUGAACCGAAAAAUAAAUGCCGCAAUAUCGCAGGACAGGAAAAUGUCGCUGAUGUGAACGCUUGUCUUGACAGGAUACAGGUUCAAAAAAAGUAUUGACAUCCGAAAUAAUCGCACGACAAAAACAGUCCCGGCGUGUAAGGACCCUAAGAAUAAUCUUUUUGAUUAAGACCACCUGGUCUUUUAGAGGUGGCCUUCAUUCUUCACUGAUACUUCAUGGACACAGAGAUAAAGGAAUUAACAGGAAAACAAUUGUCAGAUAAGUAGAUAAUGAAAAUAAUGAGUCAGUGCCAAAUGCAAUUAAUUGAUAAUGAUGAUGACAGCUCUUUGUUUCAUUUGGAGCUGCACAGUCAGCAAAGCCCAAUAAUAAUAAUCAUUUUCUGGUGCGAUAACUGUUAAAAAAAACAUGAUUGACAUUUUUAAGUAUAUUGUCACACGCGUCUGUCAUAAGCCCUGUGUUUCAGAUCAAUUUAAUCUAUAAUAACCUCUUUUGCCUCCAGCUGGCCUCUCCUCUGUCUCAGACAUAAGAGUGGAGCUGAUUGUGGCUCUAAUAGACCUGUGUGUCAGCCUGUCCUUAGCCUCAGGACUGGUGUGGGGUGGCUGUGUGACUCAGAAUGAAAUCUCGCCCCAUCUCAAUUGAACUUCAUAAAUGUGACAAGGGCAGGCCUGUGCCUCUGGUCCACAGGCUUUUUUCAGUUUGAACCUUUGACCCUCUCACGUCUCUGCUCUAUUAAAAAAUUACCACCAUCAUCACAAGCCUUAAGCCACAAUCCUGGGCAACAGCAGCACAAUAGCGUCUUGUUUACAGAUUAUCCAAAACAACAGCAGUCACUUUCUGUUUCUCUGUUGUCUGGGUGAUUGAGUCUCGAAGAAACUGCCCUAGACACCGCAGUGAAGAUAAAGCAGAGAUAAACUGUGCUGUCGUCUGUGCGCCCAGUCACAGUUGUCAGGGCACGUAGUUGGCAGCUGGCGGUAUGGUUUUUGAGGCUCUGUUUGCCAGCAGCUGCAGUAAUUUGCUGUGUUUGGACACUCUGAAUUCCUUUGGUGGGAGGAUGGAUAAUGGGUAUGGUCCACAGCCGUGUUGCUAGGCUUCAACACCAAAUUUGUUUUAUGGCACAGUGUGGUAGUGCCGCCUGGUUGUUUGGUGUGACGCAGCCUUGGAGAUGGUAAAAAAACUGGGCCAAAUACAGUCACUAUCCUCUUAGACUUAAAGGAUAGCGUCAGAGUCUGAGUCACCAGAACAGCUCUACCACAUAUAACCACAGAUACUGCUGUAAACUUCUGACAGUGUAAUAAAACUAUGUUGUACUAAGAAAUCAUGAUUACAUUUGAAUUUAUAACACUGGUCAGCUGUUAUUGGCAGCUUAGCAGACAGCCUCCUCUGUCCUCUGCAUUAACAGUACAGUUUUAAACCUGACACAUGCUUUUGUUGGAGUUUUCCUAUUUCAAAAACUGAACAUUAAAUCAAUGGCAUCAGUGAACAUUAGCCGGACUAAUGGUGCGUUCACACCAAACAGGAAUAAAAUCAUUUGGCGUGUGAAUUGCAUGUCAAGUCAAUGUAAAAACUUGAUUCGAUGCGCAUUCUACUCAGGUGACGUGAAUGAGGUGGCACAAAUAGCACAAAGUGAGACGCGACAUGUAGGAACCCUUCCCCUCUUUCUCUCCUCUUUUGCAAUCACACCUGUGUUUAAAGUCCCACUCUGACAGUUUUUUUUUUUUUACUUCUUGAAAGUGUUCUCAGUGGUCUUUAAAUUGUGAUUAUGAAGUUUUUACCAAAAUUGCGCUACCUGUGUCCUUUUCAAGGGCUUUUCUCCCGCAGAGCUCCUGUAGCUCAUUAGUAAUUGGCCUCUGAGUGGUGGGCGGAGACAGCGCUGCUCUG
rnacentral:lncRNA from 1 species